GCCCUUUGCGUAGGUGACCUGCGGAGGGAUCAUUACAGAGUUAUCUAACUCCCAAACCCAUGUGAACUUACCAUUGUUGCCUCGGCAGAACCUACCCGGUACCUACCCUGUAACGACCUACCCUGUAGCGAGUUACCCGGGAACGGCCUACCCUGUAGUGCGCUGCCGGCGGACCUCUUAACUCUUGUUAUUUUACUGUAAUCUGAGCGUCUUAUUUUAAUAAGUCAAAACUUUCAACAACGGAUCUCUUGGUUCUGGCAUCGAUGAAGAACGCAGCGAAAUGCGAUACGUAAUGUGAAUUGCAGAAUUCAGUGAAUCAUCGAAUCUUUGAACGCACAUUGCGCCCAUUAGUAUUCUAGUGGGCAUGCCUGUUCGAGCGUCAUUUCAACCCUUAAGCCUAGCUUAGUGUUGGGAGCCUACUGUACUGUAGCUCCCCAAAUCCAACGGCGGAUCUGUGGUGUCCUCUGAGCGUAGUAAUUUUUAUCUCGCUUUUGCCAGGUGCUGCAGCUCUCAGCCGCUAAACCCCCCAAAUUUUUAAUGGUUGACCUCGGAUCAGGUAGGAAUACCC
rnacentral:rRNA from 1 species